rnacentral:rRNA from 1 species
GAUGAACGCUGGCGGCGUGCCUAAUACAUGCAAGUCGAGCGAACGGACGAGAAGCUUGCUUCUCUGAUGUUAGCGGCGGACGGGUGAGUAACACGUGGAUAACCUACCUAUAAGACUGGGAUAACUUCGGGAAACCGGAGCUAAUACCGGAUGAUAUUUUGAACCGCAUGGUUCAAAAGUGAAAGACGGUCUUGCUGUCUCUUAUAGAUGGAUCCGCGCUGCAUUAGCUAGUUGGUAAGGUAACGGCCUACCAAGGCAACGAUGCAUAGCCGACCUGAGAGGGUGAUCGGCCACACUGGAACUGAGACACGGUCCAGACUCCUACGGGAGGCAGCAGUAGGGAAUCUUCGGCAAUGGGCGAAAGCCUGACGGAGCAACGCCGCGUGAGUGAUGAAGGUCUUCGGAUCGUAAAACUCUGUUAUUAGGGAAGAACAUAUGUGGAAGUAACUGUGCACAUCUUGACGGUACCUAAUCAGAAAGCCACGGCUAACUACGUG